AGUGAACGCUGGCGGUAGGCCUAACACAUGCAAGUCGAACGGCAGCACAGUAAGAGCUUGCUCUUACGGGUGGCGAGUGGCGGACGGGUGAGGAAUACAUCGGAAUCUACUUUUUCGUGGGGGAUAACGUAGGGAAACUUACGCUAAUACCGCAUACGACCUACGGGUGAAAGCAGGGGAUCUUCGGACCUUGCGGGAUGGAAUGAGCCGAUGUCGGAUUAGCUGGUUGGCGGGGUAAAGGCCCACAAAGGCGAGGAUCCGUAGCUGGUCCGGGAGGAUUAAUCGCCCCACUGGAACUUAGGCACCGUCCCGACUCCUACGGGAGGCAGCAAGUGGGGAUUUUUGGACAUUGGCGGAAGCCUUGUCCAAGCCAUCCGGCGUGGGUGAAGAGGCCUUCCGGUUUGUAAACCCCUUUUUUUGGAAAGAAAAGCAGCCGGUUUAUUCCCCGCUUGUCUGGCCGGUCCCAAAAGAUAAGCACCGGCUAACUUCGUG
rnacentral:rRNA from 1 species